rnacentral:rRNA from 1 species
ACCAGACUCCUACGGGAGGCAGCAGUGGGGAAUAUUGCACAAUGGGGGAAACCCUGAUGCAGCGACGCCGCGUGAGUGAAGAAGUAUUUCGGUAUGUAAAGCUCUCUCAGCAGGGAAGAAAAUGACGGUACCUGAUUAAGAAGCCCCGGCUAACUACGUGCCAGCAGCCGCGGUAAUACGUAGGGGGCAAGCGUUAUCCGGAUUUACUGGGUGUAAAGGGAGCGUAGACGGUGAUGCAAGUCAGAAGUGAAAGCCCGGGGCUCAACUCCGGGACUGCUUUUGAACCUGUGUGACUGGAGUGCAGGAGAGGUAAGCGGAAUUCCUGGUGUAGCGGUGAAAUGCGUAGAUAUCAGGAGGAACACCAGUGGCGAAGGCGGCUUACUGGACUGUAACUGACGUUGAGGCUCGAAAGCGUGGGGAGCAAACAGGAUUAGAUACCCGUGUAGA